rnacentral:rRNA from 1 species
AACGAACGCUGGCGGCAUGCCUAACACAUGCAAGUCGAACGAGACCUUCGGGUCUAGUGGCGCACGGGUGCGUAACGCGUGGGAACCUGCCCUUAGGUUCGGCAUAACUCCCCGAAAGGGGUGCUAAUACCGGAUAAUAUCUUCGGACCAAAGAUUUAUCGCCUUUGGAUGGGCCCGCGUUGGAUUAGCUAGUUGGUAGGGUAAAAGCCUACCAAGGCGACGAUCCAUAGCUGGUCUGAGAGGAUGAUCAGCCACACUGGGACUGAGACACGGCCCAGACUCCUACGGGAGGCAGCAGUGGGGAAUAUUGGACAAUGGGCGAAAGCCUGAUCCAGCAAUGCCGCGUGAGUGAUGAAGGCAUUAGGGUUGUAAAGCUCUUUUACCCGGGAUGAUAAUGACAGUACCGGGAGAAUAAGCUCCGGCUAACUCCGUG